GACGAACGCUGGCGGCGUGCCUAAUACAUGCAAGUCGAGCGGACAGAUGGGAGCUUGCUCCCUGAUGUUAGCGGCGGACGGGUGAGUAACACGUGGGUAACCUGCCUGUAAGACUGGGAUAACUCCGGGAAACCGGGGCUAAUACCGGAUGGUUGUUUGAACCGCAUGGUUCAGACAUAAAAGGUGGCUUCGGCUACCACUUACAGAUGGACCCGCGGCGCAUUAGCUAGUUGGUGAGGUAACGGCUCACCAAGGCGACGAUGCGUAGCCGACCUGAGAGGGUGAUCGGCCACACUGGGACUGAGACACGGCCCAGACUCCUACGGGAGGCAGCAGUAGGGAAUCUUCCGCAAUGGACGAAAGUCUGACGGAGCAACGCCGCGUGAGUGAUGAAGGUUUUCGGAUCGUAAAGCUCUGUUGUUAGGGAAGAACAAGUGCCGUUCAAAUAGGGCGGCACCUUGACGGUACCUAACCAGAAAGCCACGGCUAACUACGUGCCAGCAGCCGCGGUAAUACGUAGGUGGCAAGCGUUGUCCGGAAUUAUUGGGCGUAAAGGGCUCGCAGGCGGUUUCUUAAGUCUGAUGUGAAAGCCCCCGGCUCAACCGGGGAGGGUCAUUGGAAACUGGGGAACUUGAGUGCAGAAGAGGAGAGUGGAAUUCCACGUGUAGCGGUGAAAUGCGUAGAGAUGUGGAGGAACACCAGUGGCGAAGGCGACUCUCUGGUCUGUAACUGACGCUGAGGAGCGAAAGCGUGGGGAGCGAACAGGAUUAGAUACCCUGGUAGUCCACGCCGUAAACGAUGAGUGCUAAGUGUUAGGGGGUUUCCGCCCCUUAGUGCUGCAGCUAACGCAUUAAGCACUCCGCCUGGGGAGUACGGUCGCAAGACUGAAACUCAAAGGAAUUGACGGGGGCCCGCACAAGCGGUGGAGCAUGUGGUUUAAUUCGAAGCAACGCGAAGAACCUUACCAGGUCUUGACAUCCUCUGACAAUCCUAGAGAUAGGACGUCCCCUUCGGGGGCAGAGUGACAGGUGGUGCAUGGUUGUCGUCAGCUCGUGUCGUGAGAUGUUGGGUUAAGUCCCGCAACGAGCGCAACCCUUGAUCUUAGUUGCCAGCAUUCAGUUGGGCACUCUAAGGUGACUGCCGGUGACAAACCGGAGGAAGGUGGGGAUGACGUCAAAUCAUCAUGCCCCUUAUGACCUGGGCUACACACGUGCUACAAUGGACAGAACAAAGGGCAGCGAAACCGCGAGGUUAAGCCAAUCCCACAAAUCUGUUCUCAGUUCGGAUCGCAGUCUGCAACUCGACUGCGUGAAGCUGGAAUCGCUAGUAAUCGCGGAUCAGCAUGCCGCGGUGAAGACGUUCCCGGGCCUUGUACACACCGCCCGUCACACCACGAGAGUUUGUAACACCCGAAGUCGGUGAGGUAACCUUUAUGGAGCCAGCCGCCGAAGGUGGGACAGAUGAUUGGGGUG
rnacentral:rRNA from 1 species